UUCGGUAUACUUUGUGAAUUGG
rnacentral:miRNA from 2 species